UUAUUCCUUGGAAUAGGACGUCAUAGAGGGUGAAAAUCCCGUACUUGACAUGGACGCCCAGUGCUUUGUGAUACACUCUCCACGAGUCGAGUUGUUUGGGAAUGCAGCUCAUAAUGGGUGGUAAAUUCCAUCUAAAGCUAAAUAUUGGGGAGAGACCGAUAGCGAACAAGUACCGUGAGGGAAAGAUGACAAGCACUUUGGAAAGAGAGUUAAACAGUACGUGAAAUUGUCGAAAGGGAAGCGCUUGAAGUUAGACAUGCUUGCCGGGAUUCAGCCUUGCUUUUGCUUGGUGCAUUUCCCGGUGUGCAGGCCAGCAUCAGUUUUGUUUGCCGGAUAAGGGUGAGAGGAAUGUGGCCCCCCGGGGUGUUAUAGCCUCUCACUGGAUACGGCGGAUGGGACUGAGGACCGCAGUGUGCCUUUAUGGCGGGCCUUCGGGCACCUUCACACUGCGGAUGCUGGCGUAAUGGCUUUAAGCGACCCGUCUUGAAACACGGACCGAGGAGUCUAACAAGUCUACUAGUCUUUGGGUUGCAGACCCAUGCGCGCAAUGCUAGUCAAUGCAGGUGGGAUCCGCAAGGAGCUCCAUCUACCGAACCGGAUCUGCUGUGACGCCCUUGAGUAAGACCAUAUCUUUGGAGACCCGAAUGAUGGUGCACUAUGCAUGAAUCGGGCGAAUCCCGAGC
rnacentral:rRNA from 1 species